CGGACAUGUACAGGUAACCUUGAAUCAGAUUGGCUUCUAAAAUUGUUCGACAACCCCCCAUCAAAGCCUCGACCUACUUUAUGUGAGUUCUCACUAAAGAUGACAGAACCUUGGCAGCCCAUAUGAUGUAAGGGGUGGCAGUCCUGAUUCUGAACAUUGCCAGGAGAGACUCUGGAAAAAGUCAGAAAUGGAGAAGUUUGAUGGUUAUUCUGCGCACAUGGUUGGACACCCCCAAGUGGCACAGAAGUACCUUCAUCUUUGUUAACCACCAUUAAGUUCUUUCCCAUCAGCCG
rnacentral:misc_RNA from 1 species